GGAGCCUGGAGCUCCUGGGCUCACAUGAUCCUCCCACCUCAGCCUCCCAGGUAGCUGGGACUACAGCCACACACCACUGUGGUGGGCUCACAGGUGGUGUCAGGACUGAAGUGAACUCACUGUAGGACGCCCAGCUGGUUUCCAAGAAUUGGUCGAUGUGGGAGAAACGCCCCGCUUUGGUGUCAGAAGUGUUGUCUCUCAGUAAAUUAUGGAGACUACUGCAAAAUUCAAUAAAUGCUCGCACCGGAAAGGACAGUGGAAAAUCCCAAACUUUUAAAGCUUGCCCAGGAAUAGGAAAGCUUUCUUCCAGGCGGUU
rnacentral:lncRNA from 1 species